rnacentral:rRNA from 1 species
AGAGAGUGCAAGCGUUAAUCGGAAUUACUGGGCGUUAAAGCGCACGUAGUGGGGUACUUAAGUCGGGAUGUGAAAGCCCCAAGCUUAACUUGGGAAUUGCAUUCGAUACUGGGUACCUAGAGUAUGGUAGAGGGAAGUGGAAUUUCCGGUGUAGCGGUGAAAUGCGUAGAUAUCGGAAGGAACACCAGUGGCGAAGGCGGCUUCCUGGACCAAUACUGACACUGAGGUGCGAAAGCGUGGGGAGCAAACAGGAUUAGAGACCCUGGUAGUCCACGCCGUCAACGAUGAGGAACUACGACGUUGGGAAGGUUUACUUCUUGGUGUCGAAGCUAACGCGAUAAGUUCUCCGGCCUGGGGAGUACGGCCGCAAGGUUAA